rnacentral:misc_RNA from 1 species
GUCAGUCACUAGUAUGCUUCAACUGAUUCAUUUCAACUUGGCUGAAAAUCCAGCAAGGCUUAGCUUGGACUAGAUGUUGGAUUACCUGUAAUUAACCAUUUUGUAGUUUCUGGGAUGGUACAAACUUCAGAAAAAUCAUAUUAGCACAUUCUUGAUAAAUUAAUAACUUUUGCCUUUAGAAAAAUCAUAUUAACAGCAUAGACAACUAUUAAAUUAACUU